AACUAAUACGGAAGUUCACUCAGCUAACUGGUGUCUGGGGAUCAGGCUGGUCGCUAAUGAAAGGAAUUUCCAACCAAGGGGAAAAGAGAAGAAAUGCCUGAUUCUUUGCUUAACCCAGGAAGAGAGAGUCUCCAUUUUCAUUAGGAUCUUCUCACCUGCUGCUUCUCAGAAUGACUGGCUUCCAAUGGACCAUUCACUGACACAAGUCAAGGUGCCCCUCCCACUAAGAUGAAGGCCAAAUCCUUAUGGGCAACACGUAAACCAGUUAACAGUGAAAACAUAUGGAAGUUGCUGAAUGACUGGAAAUAAUUCUCCCACAAGAUAAGACAAAGAAUGCGCAUUUAGGAGACUCCAACCAAAAUUAACUAAGGUUGCUAAUUACAAAGGACAAGUCAGAAAAGGCAGAAGUAGCCCCAAAUGGUGGACCGAGUAUCGGUUGCGGAGGACAGGCUGCCGUUCAGUGCUGCCGCGGACAGUCCUGUUUACCUGGGUCACGGUUCGCCGUAGGCUUGUCAGAGCUGUGUUCCUUGGUGUUACUUGGGCAUCAACAAGCUUCAUUUUUCCAGGAUUUUCAACAGCAUGACACAUUCGUUCUUCCAGCCUUCAAUCCACUCGGGACAGAUUUGAGCUACGCAAAGCUUCAUAGCAGGAAGCACAUAAAAAUUUCAUCCCAAACC
rnacentral:lncRNA from 1 species